rnacentral:rRNA from 1 species
GACGAACGCUGGCGGCGUGCUUAACACAUGCAAGUCGAACGGAAAGGCCCUGCUUUUGUGGGGUGCUCGAGUGGCGAACGGGUGAGUAACACGUGAGUAACCUGCCCUUGACUUUGGGAUAACUUCAGGAAACUGGGGCUAAUACCGGAUAGGAGCUCCUGCUGCAUGGUGGGGGUUGGAAAGUUUCGGCGGUUGGGGAUGGACUCGCGGCUUAUCAGCUUGUUGGUGGGGUAGUGGCUUACCAAGGCUUUGACGGGUAGCCGGCCUGAGAGGGUGACCGGCCACAUUGGGACUGAGAUACGGCCCAGACUCCUACGGGAGGCAGCAGUGGGGAAUAUUGCACAAUGGGCGGAAGCCUGAUGCAACAACGCCGCGUGCGGGAUGACGGCCUUCGGGUUGUAAACCGCUUUCGCCUGUGACGAAGCGUGAGUGACGGUAAUGGGUAAAGAAGCACCGGCUAACUACGUGCCAGCAGCCGCGGUGAUACGUAGGGUGCGAGCGUUGUCCGGAUUUAUUGGGCGUAAAGGGCUCGUAGGUGGUUGAUCGCGUCGGAAGUGUAAUCUUGGGGCUUAACCCUGAGCGUGCUUUCGAUACGGGUUGACUUGAGGAAGGUAGGGGAGAAUGGAAUUCCUGGUGGAGCGGUGGAAUGCGCAGAUAUCAGGAGGAACACCAGUGGCGAAGGCGGUUCUCUGGGCCUUUCCUGACGCUGAGGAGCGAAAGCGUGGAGAGCGAACAGGCUUAGAUACCCUGGUAGUCCACGCUGUAAACGGUGGGUACUAGGUGUGGGGUCCAUUCCACGGGUUCCGUGCCGUAGCUAACGCUUUAAGUACCCCGCCUGGGGAGUACGGCCGCAAGGCUAAAACUCAAAGGAAUUGACGGGGCCCCGCACAAGCGGCGGAGCAUGCGGAUUAAUUCGAUGCAACGCGUAGAACCUUACCUGGGUUUGACAUGGAUCGGGAGUGCUCAGAGAUGGGUGUGCCUCUUUUGGGGUCGGUUCACAGGUGGUGCAUGCCUGUCGUCAGCUCGUGUCGUGAGAUGUUGGGUUAAGUCCCGCAACGAGCGCAACCCUUGUUCACUGUUGCCAGCACGUUAUGGUGGGGACUCAGUGGAGACCGCCGGGGUCAACUCGGAGGAAGGUGGGGAUGACGUCAAGUCAUCAUGCCCCUUAUGUCCAGGGCUUCACGCAUGCUACAAUGGCUGGUACAGAGAGUGGCGAGCCUGCGAGGGUGAGCGAAUCUCGGAAAGCCGGUCUCAGUUCGGAUUGGGGUCUGCAACUCGACCUCAUGAAGUCGGAGUCGCUAGUAAUCGCAGAUCAGCAACGCUGCGGUGAAUACGUUCCCGGGGCU